rnacentral:lncRNA from 1 species
UUCUUUUUCUUUUCUUUUUUCUUUUUUUUCCUUGCAGCUCUUGGGAUCAGCCUACCAUUAAAAUUGAAAUUUAUUUGCAAUAUAGAUUGAAAUUUAAUUCAGACUUAUGUAAUUUUCAUGGAAUAAAGGCUGAUUGCUCAAAUUGCCUGAUAUUAUAUUUUCUGCACUGUUUCUGAAAACAUUUUCCCUGCACCAGCUGAGGCAAAUCCUGCAUUUCUGAGAGUACAGAGUUUUCUUCUCUCAGGAAACGUGCAGUCAGAAGCUUAAGGGGAAGUAAGUGUUUGUGGAAGUAUGCUUUGAAUAAAGUCAUGGCAUAAGUGGCUUAAUUUGCAUCUUUACUAUUAGUUCAUUAAAUUGAAUAUCUUGGUGGCAACACAUUAUGCUGUGAUUCUUAAGAGAUCUGCACUUGAAAUCAGGCAGGAGCUUCCUUUUCCAAAAUACAGCAGAAGCCAAACAGAACUUUGAAAUGGCCCCAGGGUACCAGUGAACGGAGAGUGGAGGAGGAAAAACGUUUCAUGUGUCGUCUCUAGUAGUGGUCCCUGAGGAAACGGCUCCUUAAUUCUAUAGUGAAGGGAAACAGCCAUUAUCAACAGGACUGGAUGUUUGGAUAGGAAGACUUGAGGGAAAUCUGCAGGCUUUGAAUAGCCAUAAAGAAUUGCUGUUCUCGCUAGAAAUGGAUGUGGAAAUCCAGAAAUGAUUCAUUGCUACAUGAUGCCAGGACCAAGCAAGUAACCUUUGUCAGAGAAACUGUACUUUGGAAAAAAAGAUAUUUCUGCACAACAACAAGAAAGUAACUCAGUGAGGAAAUGUGAGCCAUUGUAGUAACAGUUAAAGCAACUGAAGCAAACCAAAGCAAUUGAGGUAAGCAA